GAUGAACGCUGGCGGCGUGCCUAAUACAUGCCAGUCGAGCGAACGGACGAGAAGCUUGCUUCUCUGAUGUUAGCGGCGGACGGGUGAGUAACACGUGGAUAACCUACCUAUAAGACUGGGAUAACUUCGGGAAACCGUGGCUAAUACCGGAUAAUAUUUUGAACCGCAUGGUUCAAAAGUGAAAGACGGUCUUGCUGUCACUUUUAGAUGGAUCCGCGCUGCAUUAGCUAGUUGGUAAGGUAACGGCUUACCAAGGCAACGAUGCAUAGCCGACCUGAGAGGGUGAUCGGCCACACUGGAACUGAGACACGGUCCAGACUCCUACGGGAGGCAGCAGUAGGGAAUCUUCCGCAAUGGGCGAAAGCCUGACGGAGCAACGCCGCGUGAGUGAUGAAGGUCUUCGGAUCGUAAAACUCUGUUAUUAGGGAAGAACAUAUGUGUAAGUAACUGUGCACAUCUUGACGGUACCUAAUCAGAAAGCCACGGCUAACUACGUG
rnacentral:rRNA from 1 species